GAUGAAGAACGUAGCGAAAUGCGAUAAGUAAUGUGAAUUGCAGAAUUCAGUGAAUCAUCGAAUCUUUGAACGCACAUUGCGCCCGCCGGCACUCCGGCGGGCAUGCCUGUCCGGGCGUCAUUUCAACCCUCAGGCCCGAACCCCCCCGGGGGGGGCGGGCCUGGUGUUGGGGCUCGGGGUCCGCGAGGCCCCCGUCCCCUAAAUCCAGUGGCGGUCGCGCCGCACCCUCCCCUGCGUAGUAGCACACCUCGCACCGGAGAGCAGCGCGUCCACGCCGUGAAACCCCCAACUUACCAAGGUUGACCUCGGAUCAGGUAGGAAUACCCGCUGAACUUAAGCAUAUCAAUAAGCGGAGGA
rnacentral:misc_RNA from 1 species